ACAGCAGCAGCCGCGGGAAUACAGAGGGUGCAAGCGUUAAUCGGAAUUACUGGGCGUAAAGCGCGCGUAGGUGGUUCGCCAAGUUGGAUGUGAAAUCCCCGGGCUCAACCUGGGAACUGCAUCCAAAACUGGCGAGCUAGAGUAUGGUAGAGGGUAGUGGAAUUUCCUGUGUAGCGGUGAAAUGCGUAGAUAUUCGGAAGAACACCAGUGGCGAAGGCGGCUCACUGGCUCAUACUGGACGCUGAGGUGCGAAAGCGUGGGGAGCAAACAGGAUUAGAUACCCGCGUAGUCCCUGUCUCUUAUAC
rnacentral:rRNA from 1 species